rnacentral:rRNA from 1 species
AUUGAACGCUGGCGGCAGGCUUAACACAUGCAAGUCGAGCGGAGCGAGGGUGCUUGCACCUUAGCUUAGCGGCGGACGGGUGAGUAAUGCUUAGGAAUCUGCCUAUUAGUGGGGGACAACAUUCCGACAGGAAUGCUAAUACCGCAUACGCCCUACGGGGGAAAGCAGGGGAUCUUCGGACCUUGCGCUAAUAGAUGAGCCUAAGGCGGAUUAGCUAGUUGGUGGGGUAAAGGCCUACCAAGCCGACGAUCUGUAGCGGGUCUGAGAGGAUGAUCCGCCACACUGGGACUGAGACACGGCCCAGACUCCUACGGGAGGCAGCAGUGGGGAAUAUUGGACAAUGGGCGGAAGCCUGAUCCAGCCAUGCCGCGUGUGUGAAGAAGGCCUUUUGGUUGUAAAGCACUUUAAGCGAGGAGGAGGCUACUUAGAUUAAUACUCUGGGAUAGUGGACGUUACUCGCAGAAUAAGCACCGGCUAACUCUGUGCCAGCCGCCGCCGUAA